GUUUGGUUCCCCGUUGGGAUAUUGUCUUAGUGAUAUAGGGUUUUCAUCCUUUCGUAAUUGGUGGUUUGCUCUGCAAAUAUAUGUUGCUAAAUCAGAUUACUGGGAACUCUGAAUAUCCAGCUUGCUAUGCUGGUAUAUAUGGAAAGCAAGAAAUGCGAUGGUUUUCCAAGCUGAAUCGCCUAAUCCUAUCCUUACCAUUUCAAAGGCUACGAAUACUUUUGAGAAACUACAUUUGACAGCACUUCUGCAACAUUAUUCUUUGCCAAUUCCUCCGGGCCCUUCCACAAUUAG
rnacentral:misc_RNA from 1 species